rnacentral:rRNA from 1 species
UACGAAGGGGGCGAGCGUUGUUCGGAUUUACUGGGCGUAAAGGGCGCGCAGGCGGCUUAUUUUGUCAGGCGUGAAAGCCCCGGGCUUAACCUGGGAACUGCGUUUGAUACGGAUGGGCUAGAGUUCGGGAGAGGAGAGUGGAAUUCCCAGUGUAGAGGUGAAAUUCGUAGAUAUUGGGAAGAACACCGGUGGCGAAGGCGGGUCUCUGGGCCGAUACUGACGCUGAGGAGCGAAAGCGUGGGGAGCGAACAGGAUUGAG